rnacentral:tRNA from 1 species
GGCCGGAUAGCUCAGUCGGUAGAGCGUUCGCACGGAAUGCGGAGGUCCCGGGUUCGAGUCCCGGUCUGGCUG